UACGGAGAGUGCAAACGUUGUUCGGAUUCAUUGGGCGUAAAGGGUGCGUAGGUGGCGCUGUAAGUCGGGUGUGAAAUUUCGGAGCUUAACUCCGAAACUGCAUUCGAUACUGCGGUGCUUGAGGACUGGAGAGGAGACUGGAAUUCAUGGUGUAGCAGUGAAAUGCGUAGAGAUCAUGAGGAAGACCAGUGGCGAAGGCGGGUCUCUGGACAGUUCCUGACACUGAGGCACGAAGGCCAGGGGAGCAAACCGG
rnacentral:rRNA from 1 species